AAUAAUAAUUUUAUUACACUUUUAGGUUGAGUUUCUGCUGUUACACCUGUUAUUGCUGUUGUAAGUACUCAAAAUUUCAGGAAGUUCUAUUGCUGUGUCUUAUAGAUGUCUAAAGUUAUACAUUUGGCUAAUUUAGGCCAACUCUCACGUGUUGGCAGAAAGUUACCAAAAUAUGUUGAGGACUUAAUUCAGAGAUAAUGUUGCUAAACGAUUUACAGUCGAUAAUCUUUUGAAAGCAGAAAAACUUAGGUUAGCAUCAAAUAGAAAGUUAGCGCAAUUUCUGGUAUUUGUGUGUCAAACAAAGAAUACGCGAAUUAUUUGAGAUAUGAUUGAAAUUUGCAAAGAAAGUAAA
rnacentral:lncRNA from 1 species